rnacentral:tRNA from 1 species
GGCGGAUGUAGCCAAGUGGCU